rnacentral:rRNA from 1 species
GAUUAACGCUAGCGGCAGGCCUAAUACAUGCAAGUCGAACGGUAACAGGGGUAGCAAUACCCGCUGACGAGUGGCGCACGGGUGCGUAACACGUAUGCAAUCUUCCUUUAACUGGGGGAACAACCCCUCGAAAGAGGGGCUAACACCGCAUAACAUCAAGAAGCGACAUCACUUUUUGAUCAAACCUCCGGGGGUUAAAGAUGAGCAUGCGUUCGAUUAGCUAGUUGGCGGGGUAAAAGCCCACCAAGGCAACGAUCGAUAGGGGGUCGUGAGAGGAUGAUCCCCACACUGGUACUGAGACACGGACCAGACUCCUACGGGAGGCAGCAGUAAGGAAUAUUGGACAAUAGGGGGCAACCCUGAUCCAGCCAUGCCGCGUGAAGGAUGAAGGCGCUAUGCGUU